CUCAGUAAAUAGCCUUAAUUUAUUCUCAUCUGUGCUGUGGCAAAACUCCUGAACACAUUUAUUUUCUCUAAAAUUUUCCAAAACGGCACAGUAAUGGCAGACACGCCAUAACAUUAUCUCAAUCAGGAUACAAAACUAUUACAAGCCCACUGGCAGCUUUGAAAGGUUUAAUUAACAUGUAUUUAACAUACACCUCUUUAUAUACAAAUCUAUUUUUUCAAUAAUUUUUGCAGAAAAAAGGUGUCAACACAUAGCUUUCCAUACAAAAUAUAUACUAUAUUUUUUUGACCUAGGUGAAGAAAAAUAUUAUUUGAGAGGCAACAUAGAUUUUAUCAUCAUGCAAUGAAUGGCAGCUGUUUGUGAGAGUCUUGACAGAUCACAGAAUGGUUUGGGUUGGAAGGGAACAUGAAGAUCCUCUAAUUCCAAACCCCCUGCCAAGGGCAGGGACACAUUUCACCAGGCUUCUCAAAGCUCCAUACAGCCUGGCCCUGAACACUUCCAGGGAUGGUAAUUCCACGUGUUAUGGGAGACAAUGUAGCAAGACAAUUUUAGACGACAGCUGGUUUGUAUGGAUCUGUGCAGUAAGUAAAGCGAAAUACAGACUCACAGGGUAAAUCCUCUGGAAAUCACUUCAGUCUCUUGAAUGAGUCGUAGUGCUUUCCUCACGAGAUUAGUAAAGGCCCGGCUGUUGGCCACUGUUUCUUCCAGCUGGACAGAGCAUUUCCGCAGGGACAUUUGCAGCCUGGCUGUCCUCCACGUGCCCCACGCCCUAGAGGCUGCAUAGAGGAGCAGCAGGGGCCCGCACAGCAGCCAUGACGAUCCCUUCCACCACGAAGGAAACAUGAGCAGCGCACUUACAAAGGCAAGGAGCAGCGAGACAUCCCUGCAGAGAGACAGCACCACCAACCACACCUUACUGAGGGCAAACAGCUGGGAAAAAUACCAACUUUUCAGUUACAUUUGAGAUUACAACAUCUUACUUGUGGGGCUUUUAUGUAGGUCCUGAAGGGAGCUGUAAACACUGAAAACUACCCCUUGUGACAGGUUUGGAUGAAUAUGUACAUGAUAUUACUUGGCUGGUAAACUGUAAGGAAACCUUUCUUCAGCUUUUUUACAGCAUGAGUAGGAGAGUAAUGUACCACUUUGAAAGGUUAGUUUCUCUUACACACUUACAUGACUUUAAAAAAAUAGAAAAGAAAAUUAAAAAAAAAGAAAAAACUGACUACUCAGCAUUAUAAACCAGGGUGUGUAGGAACUGUAAUAUCUGUACUUCCAGGUUCAAGAGUACAGUAGGGAAGGGCAUGUUUCUUUUGGUAGCAAAUUCCUCAAUUAGUGCCAGCUGUAUUUUUUCUAGAGGCUGACUCAUUUAACUUGAACUUCAGUGCACUACUAGUUUCUAACACAAUUUUAUAAAGAUGGCUUGAACAGGCUUUUAAAAAGGUUUGGCACCUUUUGAAAAUCCUUAAAGAAUAGAUUUCCUAGUAUCUCAGUUACUUCUCAAAGAUAUUUUAAAACCCUAUAAAGUUGUUACUUUCCGCUAUAAAAAUUCAACAUAAAUAAGUAACUGCUAGAAAUACACCGUGUUUCAUAUAUAUCAUUACACGGUUUUGUAAAAUAAUCACACUUUUCAGAGAGAUGGAUGGGAUACCAGCUUCAAGGUGCAUUACAACUACACUUUUCCAGAAUAUUUUCAAUGAAAAAAAUUUUUUUCCUUUACCCCUUAGAGCUGUAUAUCCCACAUUUAGGUUUGGAAGUAUCGACUUGGAAUAUUUUUCCAUUUCUAAAAUAUGACACAAUCUCUGGAUUUCUGUUUCCUGGACAGUUUUGUGGUCAAAUUUCAACCAGCUUUACAAGUGUUAACUCUUUAAGGCUAUUGGCUACUGAUAGGUUUCAGUAAAAAUCCAGGGUUAAAAUAUGCUAAAUAUGUAAGUACCUCUGAAAGGGACAGACACACAGUCUAUAACUUCCUUAGUACAUUAAAAAAUAAAGUCCCACAAUUAAAAUAAAUCAAAUCACAACAAUUAAAGACUAGAAGGGAUUUAACAGCUCACUUUGUUCAUUUUCAGAUUCUGGUGGCUAAACCCAGAUCAGCAUGGACAGACCAAAGAUGAAAAUGGAGACUCCACAACCCAUGUCAUGGCUAUUCCAACUCCUAAGUAUCCUCAGAGUUCAAAAGACUUCCCAGUUUGAAUCACUGGGAGAUUAAUUGCAUUAUUCCUCCCCUUAUGCCUCUCUUUUCUGAACAGAACUAAUGAUGAGUGAUCUCCACCUUCUACAUAUCAUAACACUCUUCCAUCCCAUAGAUAUCAGAUCCUUUCCUGGAGUAGUACUGCAUACCCAAUUAUUCAUCACUUGGUGUUUCUUAACUUGACUUUUCCUUCCCAAGUGUAGCAUUAAACUUUUAUCUCUAUUGAAUUUUCUAUAAUUUUCAGGGUAUUUCUCCAAGCUGUUGUUAACCUCUGGUCUAUGAAAACAGAAACUUGAUGUCAUCUGGAAGGUGAACAAUAUUCACAAAUUUUGUAAGUGUACUUUAUCAGCUGAAAGUUAAAGAAACUGAAUAAUGCUAAGACCAGAAGCAUCUGGUUCAAAAGUUCUCUUGUUUGACAGAGAGCAUCAAUAUUGACACAAACAGUUGAGGUGUAACUUGUAAUUUUGCCUACUUUUUUAGUGUAUAUAUGGGAAAAUAGCACUGGCCCAUAUUACAUGAUAUUUUUUUCUACUGAUUACCACAUUUCCAAGCAAGACACUGUCAGAACAACCACUGGCAUUGUUAUUUUUUAAAUACAGGUGGUAGCUGUUCAGAUACUGCUGCCCCACACACAACAUAUUUUAUAAAGACCACACACCAAAAUAAACACUUUUCAAUUCAGUCUUCACACUCAUGUCUCAUUAUCAAAAUCACCUCUAUAUAGUUUCAGAAAUUAAUGAAUUAAUCAACUAUGUUAGUUCCUCCUUAUAGAAUAUAUCAGUCAGGGAGUAUUCAUUCAUAUUCACAUAGUUACCUCAGAUUGAAAUUCACUCUUUCAAUAAAAUGCCCAAUGGAAAAAACAUGCUUAUUCAAAAAUCUGGGGGCUAGUAGAAUAAAGACCCAAGGAUGUGAGAAAAAAUAUAGUUACUUUAAUGCUGCAUUUAAUAUCAAGAAUGCACAACAUAAUUUUUGCUUGUUUCUCAGUGACUAUAAUGGUAGAUAUCCUCAAUACAAUACCAAAUAU